rnacentral:tRNA from 2 species
CGGGGUGUAGCUCAGUCUGGUAGAGCACUGCCUUCGGGAGGCAGGGGUCGUAGGUUCGAAUCCUGUCACCCCGACCA